rnacentral:rRNA from 1 species
AUUAGCCAUGCAUGUCUCAGUACAAGCCAAAUUAAGGUGAAACCGCGAAAGGCUCAUUAAAUCAGUUAUGGUUCCUUAGAUCGUACCCACAUUUACUUGGAUAACUGUGGUAAUUCUAGAGCUAAUACAUGCAAACAGAUCUCCGACCGGAAACGGAAGGAGCGCUUUUAUUAGAUCAAAACCAAUCGGUGCCGAGCUUUGCUCGUCAUCGUACAACUUGGUGACUCUGAAUAACUUUACGCUGAUCGCACGGUCUCGCACCGGCGACGCAUCUUUCAAAUGUCUGCCUUAUCAACUGUCGAUGGUAGGUUCUGCGCCUACCAUGGUUGUAACGGGUAACGGGGAAUCAGGGUUCGAUUCCGGAGAGGGAGCCUGAGAAACGGCUACCACAUCCAAGGAAGGCAGCAGGCGCGCAAAUUACCCACUCCCGGCACGGGGAGGUAGUGACGAAAAAUAACGAUACGGGACUCAUCCGAGGCCCCGUAAUCGGAAUGAGCACACUCUAAACCCUUUAACGAGGAUCAAUUGGAGGGCAAGUCUGGUGCCAGCAGCCGCGGUAAUUCCAGCUCCAAUAGCGUAUAUUAAAGUUGUUGCGGUUAAAAAGCUCGUAGUCGAAUCUGUGUCCCACGCCGCCGGUUCAUCGUACGCGGUGUCAACUGGCGUGUCGUGGGACGUCCUGCCGGUGGGCUUAGCCCGCGAGGGCGGCCCAACUCAAUCCUGCCGCGGUGCUCUUGACUGAGUGUCGAGGUGGGCCGGCACGUUUACUUUGAACAAAUUAGAGUGCUUAAAGCAGGCCAAAAUUUCGCCUGAAUACUGUGUGCAUGGAAUAAUGGAAUAGGACCUCGGUUCUAUUUUGUUGGUUUUCGGAACCCCGAGGUAAUGAUUAAUAGGAACGGAUGGGGGCAUUCGUAUUGCGACGUUAGAGGUGAAAUUCUUGGAUCGUCGCAAGACGGACAGAAGCGAAAGCAUUUGCCAAAAACGCUUUCAUUGAUCAAGAACGAAAGUUAGAGGUU